CAUGUGUAGAUUUUCAAUAUGUGCUUGAUUAUGUGGAAUUGAAAGUUUAAUGACAUUUGUAAGCAUGAAAUAAUGAUUUCUUUAAACAUUAGCUAAAGUUUAUUAGCAAACAUUAACAAGAACAUUAUCUCACGAUUCUAACUCUUUGAACAUUUAUUUACUAAUCAUCAAUUAAGCAUUAUAUAAUGUUUGUUAAUGAUUUAUUAAUGAAAGUUAUUAUAAAGUGUUCCUGUGAUUUUUUUUUCUUCUACAAGAUUAGAGUGUAGCACUUAAAAAGUAUAAUAUACAUUUUGUAUAACAAAUUCCUGAAAUUAAUAUCAGGUCUUUUUUUUUAAUGUUAUAUGUUUAUUAGCAAACAUUAACAAGCACAUUAUCUCACGAUUCUAACUCUUUGAACAUUUAUUUACUAAUGAUCAAUUAAGCAUUAUAUAAUGUUUGUUAAUGAUUUAUUAAUGAAAGUUAUUAUAAAGUGUUACUGUGAUUUUUUUUUCUUCUACAAGAUUAGAGUGUAGCACUUACAAAGUAUAAUAUACAUUUUGUAUAACAAAUUCCUGAAAUUAAUAUCAGGUCUUUUUUUUCAGUAUGUACAUAAUUUUGCUGUGUUUGUGUUAACUGCUUUAGUUUUGUGUUUAUACAUAGUCUGAAAGGCUUAUGGUAUUGGUCUUGUAGGGCAAUAUCAGACAAUCCUGCAACCACAAACCCAAAGUCACAUGAUUUGCCACUGUUCUUCAACCUUUAUACCAUUUUGCCAUUUUUUUCUUGUUUUCAAUUUAUCUGUAGAAUAUUUUUGUAGUGUUACACAAUAUCGCAGUGCAUAUCUCUGAGAUGGAUGUCUCUGACAAUCACACUUGUUGGACAUGGAGUUGAUCGGAAGCCCGUAAUACCCAGAGACUAAAUCUUGCACUUGGUAGAGGAGCUUUGUGAGAUGAGUAUGAGGAGCAUGAGAUGGUGAGCAGGUGUUUUGUUGGGUUUAUUUGGACACAGGUUCUGCAGGAAGAAACAAUACUGAAUGUUACAUGUAUUUACUGUUAUGUACACUGUAUCAUAUAAAUGUGAAUUUACUAGAAUUAAAGUAGGUUUAAUGCAGGUACGAUUAUAAAUAAGAUAUAAUAAACUAAAUAAGAUUGCAACUGGAUAUUUGUCU
ensembl:lncRNA